AUGAGUAAUGAUGCUUUCUCAAUUUGUUCCUGGAAUGUACAUGGUCUAGGCGAUGAUGCUUAAUGCUCCGACGUACUCUCCGAAUUGGUUGCGAUCAAGCCUCACGUCACCCUCUUGCAAGAAUCAAAACUCGACACCUUCUCUGAUCCCAAACUAAGAUCCUUUUUCCCACGACAACUCGACCAUGUUUUUUUGUUACCAGCCGUGGGCACUGCGGGUGGAACUAUCUCCGCCGUCAACUCAAACUCUUUCCAAAUUGUCUCCUACUCACACCUCACCUUCUCAUCCACCCUGAUCUUGCAAUCAACUGCGUGCAUCCGCAACAUUGCCAUCACAAAUAUCUACCCCUCGUCACAUUCACUCAAACAAGCCUUCUUAAACGAACUCCUAUCUAUCUCACAACCAGACGACUCCCCUUGGCUUAUCGCUGGCCACUUCAACCUCAUCCGCUUCUCCUCUGACAAAAACAAUCCUGCUUUCCGUCAGGCUGAAGCCAACGCUUUCAACCAAACCCUAGAUGACCUAGCUCUCAUAGAUUUGCCGCUUCUUGAUCGCCAGUUCACCUGGUCGAACAAUAGAGCUAUGCCCACCUUAGAACGGAUCGAUCGCGCUUUCUUUAACUUAGCUUGGGCUGACGCCUUCCCUAACACCUCGCUAUCCUCACGUACUCGUUUUACGUCCGAUCACGUCCCCCUUCUCAUACACGUCACCACCAUGAUUCCACGGUCCAAUUUCUUUAAAUUCGAGGCUGGAUGGGCCAACUUCCAGCCUUGUGGAGACAUUAUCAGGAGAAUUUGGGCCUCACCUCAGCCCACAUCGCUGCUCAAAUCUGUUGCUGCUCUUGUCUCCGCGCUCAAAAAAUCACGUACUAACCUCAAAAAGGGAACGUUCACGCAUCCCCGUCCCCCUUCACGAAUCUCGUUGCAAAACCGCAAUCACUGCUUUAGACCUCGUCGACGAAACUAG
rnacentral:rRNA from 1 species